rnacentral:rRNA from 1 species
AGUGAACGCUGGCGGUAGGCCUAACACAUGCAAGUCGAACGGCAGCACAGUAAGAGCUUGCUCUUACGGGUGGCGAGUGGCGGACGGGUGAGGAAUACAUCGGAAUCUACUUUUUCGUGGGGGAUAACGUAGGGAAACUUACGCUAAUACCGCAUACGACCUACGGGUGAAAGCAGGGGAUCUUCGGACCUUGCGCGAUUGAAUGAGCCGAUGUCGGAUUAGCUAGUUGGCGGGGUAAAGGCCCACCAAGGCGACGAUCCGUAGCUGGUCUGAGAGGAUGAACCGGCACAACUGAAAUGGGGACAGGGUCAGGCUUCUAAGGGGGGGAACAGGGGGGAAAUAUGGGACAUGGGGGGAAGCCUUAACCAGGCCAUACGGGUGGGGUGAGGAAGGCUUUGGGUUGUAAAGCCCUUUUGUUGGGAAAGAAAAGCAGCAGGUUAAUACCCCGCUGUUCUGACGGUACCCAAAGAAUAAGCACCGGCUAACUUCGUG